rnacentral:piRNA from 1 species
UGCACGCUCCUUCCCAGGCCGCCCUGAC